CAGGCCUAACACAUGCAAGUCGAGCGGUAGCAGGAGGUGCUUGCACUUCGCUGACGAGCGGCGGACGGGUGCGUAACACGUAGGAAUCUGCCCGGUAGUGGGGGAUAGCCCGGAGAAAUUCGGAUUAAUACCGCAUACGCCCUAAGGGGGAAAGCAGGGGAUCGGUUCGCCGACCUUGCGCUAUCGGAUGAGCCUGCGUCGGAUUAGCUAGUUGGUGGGGUAAAGGCCCACCAAGGCGACGAUCCGUAGCUGGUCUGAGAGGAUGAUCAGCCACACUGGGACUGAGACACGGCCCAGACUCCUACGGGGGGCAGCAGUGGGGAAUAUUGCACAAUGGGCGAAGGCCUGAUGCAGCCAUGCCGCGUGUGUGAAGAAGGCCCUAGGGUUGUAAAGCACUUUCAGUGGGGAGGAAAGGUUGAAGGUUAAUACCCUUUAGCUGUGACGUUACCCACAGAAGAAGCACCGGCUAACUCCGUGCCAGCAGCCGCGGUAAUACGGAGGGUGCGAGCGUUAAUCGGAAUUACUGGGCGUAAAGCGUGCGUAGGCGGCUUUUUAAGUUGGAUGUGAAAGCCCCGGGCUUAACCUGGGAACUGCAUCCAAAACUGGAAGGCUUGAGUGCGAGAGAGGAGUGUGGAAUUUCCUGUGUAGC
rnacentral:rRNA from 1 species